AGCUGGAUGGGUGAAGUGUUCCCUCAGUUCACAUAGACCAGGCUUCCUCUUUAGAGGCAUAAGCUGUAAAACAGGAGAGUCUGUUUUAAGAGGAUCUGUUUGAAGUUUAAUGUAACUGAAGUCCAUGCACCUGAAGCCAUUAAUUGAUAUAAGUGAAGUAAGUCUUUGGGUUUCCGGUAGCUCUGACUCAGAUUCUGCUUGCCUCUUCUCCAUGAGAUUACCAAGGCAUCAGGGCAGAGACUCCCUGAGAAUCAAGAGCGGGGUUCAUUUCCUGGUUAUGUAUCUUAUUGGACGUGUGAACUUGUGCAAAUUACAUAAUGUCUUUGAGCC
rnacentral:lncRNA from 1 species